GACGAACGCUGGCGGCGUGCCUAAUACAUGCAAGUUGAGCGCUGAAGGUUGGUACUUGUACCAACUGGAUGAGCAGCGAACGGGUGAGUAACGCGUGGGGAAUCUGCCUUUGAGCGGGGGACAACAUUGGGAAACGAAUGCUAAUACCGCAUAAAAACUUUAAACACAAGUUUUAAGUUUGAAAGAUGCAAUUGCAUCACUCAAAGAUGAUCCCGCGUUGUAUUAGCUAGUUGGUGAGGUAAAGGCUCACCAAGGCGAUGAUACAUAGCCGACCUGAGAGGGUGAUCGGCCACAUUGGGACUGAGACACGGCCCAAACUCCUACGGGAGGCAGCAGUAGGGAAUCUUCGGCAAUGGACGAAAGUCUGACCGAGCAACGCCGCGUGAGUGAAGAAGGUUUUCGGAUCGUAAAACUCUGUUGGUAGAGAAGAACGUUGGUGAGAGUGGAAAGCUCAUCAAGUGACGGUAACUACCCAGAAAGGGACGGCUAACUACGUG
rnacentral:rRNA from 1 species